GAUGAAGAACGUAGCAAAAUGCGAUAAGUAAUGUGAAUUGCAGAAUUCAGUGAAUCAUCGAAUCUUUGAACGCACAUUGCGCCCGCCAGUAUUCUGGCGGGCAUGCCUGUUCGAGCGUCAUUUCAACCCUCAAGCACAGCUUGGUGUUGGGACUCGCGUUAAUUCGCGUUCCCCAAAUUGAUUGGCGGUCACGUCGAGCUUCCAUAGCGUAGUAGUAAAACCCUCGUUACUGGUAAUCGUCGCGGCCACGCCGUUAAACCCCAACUUCUGAAUGUUGACCUCGGAUCAGGUAGGAAUACUCGCUGAACUUAAGCAUAUCAAUAAGCGGAGGA
rnacentral:misc_RNA from 1 species